UGACUAAAUUUGCUUCUGUCCAUCAUCUAGGUCAUAUAUAGUUCAAUUCAAGUAAAGCAGACAGGGCUGCAAGGAAAUCUGGAGCAGUUCAAUAGGGCUCAUCUCGUCUGAUUCCCAGGCUGAUGAAAUUUGCUGACUGAACUCAUGGCUGAAUUCCGAAUACAGGCCACAAAGCAGGCUAGCUGGCAAUGUUAUCUACCAGCUGUAGAAACUCAGUCUUUUAAGCCACUUGGGAAGUAACUCUUCCUUCCUGAAGAAGCUACAACUUUUUGUUGUUGUUUUUUCUAUUCCUUUUACCUGACAAAACUGAAGUUUCCGGACUACUCUGUACAAUUUCGGGAAAAUGGAGAAAUAGAAGAAAAACAUGAUUAGAUACCAAAUUAUCCAAAGAGGUGACUUUCGUAAGGUUUCCACAAGUUACCAACAGCUGAUGCAGUAGUGGGAAGGCUUUGGAUGCAGGAGGGAAAGAGUCUCUUUUCAGUACAGAAGGUAGUCGAAAUUCCAAGUGGUGGGACCAAGAAAACACCCAAGGGAUAAAUCAAAGUUCAUUGUUGGACAUUUCAGUGCCUCAUCACCUUCUCAUCAGAAAAGGAUUUCCUUCAACCUAAGAUGUCACAACAAAGCAAGAGAAACCUUCUCUUCUUGCUGGCACAAGCAAUUCACCAAUAUAAGCAUAACAGGGAGACUGUAGCGACUGUACCAAGUUCAUUCAUCUUAACACUAUUAAAAGUGAGCACUAAUUCAGCUUAACCAGCUGUUUCUUCUAACAGGAUAUGGAUUAUGAUGUUGAAAGUGUAAUUAAAACCAAACCUGAAAAAAUAAUGUCUGUGACCUCAGCUGCCACAACACCAGCUCUUGACAAGCACUUACUGCUCAGAGGUUCAGUCUGCAACAUUGCAGCAUCGUUCAUCUGCUCCGAACCUGGACCUGUGAAAACAAUGAAUCUGUCACCUGGCAGACAAAUAUCAUAUACCUGAAUAAGAAUUCAUCAACCAACAGUUUCUGUAACCUAAUAAACUUCUCAAAUACAGUUGAUGUAAAAUGGA